AGAGUACCUGUAAAACAAAUGUAAGGAGACAGUUAACAGAACCAAGGACAGGUACAAAAAGUGUCAGGAAAGAGCAGAGUACCUGUAAAACAAAUGUAAGGAGACAGUUAACAGAACCAAGGACAUGGAAAAAACGUGUGAGGAAAGAGGAGAGUACCUGUAAAACAAAUGUAAGGAGACAGUUAACAGAACCAAGGACAGGUACAAAAAGUGUGAGGAAAGAGCAGAGUACCUGUAAAACAAAUGUAAGGAGACAGUUAACAGAACCAAGGACAGGUACAAAAAGUGUGAGGAAAGAGCAAAGUACCUGUAAAACAAAUGUAAGGAGACAGUUAACAGAACCAAGGACAGGUACAAAAAGUGUGAGGAAAGAGCAAAGUACCUGUAAAACAAAUGUAAGGAGACAGUUAACAGAACCAAGGACAGGUACAAAAAGUGUGAGGAAAGAGCAAAGUGACUGUAAAACAAAUGUAAGGAGACAGUUAACAGAACCAAGGACAGGUACAAAAAGUGUCAGGAAAGAGCAGAGUACCUGUAAAACAAAUGUAAGGAGACAGUUAACAGAACCAAGGACAGGUACAAGAAGUGUGAGGAAAGAGCAAAGUACCUGUAAAACAAAUGUAAGGAGACAGUUAAUAGAACCAAGGACAGGUACAAAAAGUGUCAGUAAAGAGCAGAGUACCUAUAAAACAAAUGUAAGGAGACAGUUAACAGAACCAAGGACGGGUACAAAAAGUGUGAGGAAAGAGCAAAGUACCUGUAAAACAAAUGUAAGGAGACAGUUAACAGAACCAAGGACAGGUAAAAAAGUGUCAGGAAAGAGCAAAGUACCUGUAAAACAAAUGUAAGGAGACAGUUAACAGAACCAAGGACAGGUACAAAAAGUGUGAGGAAAGAGCAAAGUACCUGUAAAACAAAUGUAAGGAGACAGUUAACAGAACCAAGGACAGGUACAAAAAGUGUCAGGAAAGAGCAAAGUACCUGUAAAACAAAUGUAAGGAGACAGUUAACAGAACCAAGGACAGGUACAAAAGUGUGAGGAAAGAGCAAAGUACCUGUAAAACAAAUGUAAGGAGACAGUUAACAGAACCAAGGACAGGUACAAAAAGUGUCAGGAAAGAGCAAAGUACCUGUAAAACAAAUGUAAGGAGACAGUUAACAGAACCAAGGACAGGUAAAAAAGUGUCAGGAAAGAGCAAAGUACCUGUAAAACAAAUGUAAGGAGACAGUUAACAGAACCAAGGACAGGUACAAAAAGUGUCAGGAAAGAGCAAAGUACCUGUAAAACAAAUGUAAGGAGACAGUUAACAGAACCAAGGACAGGUACAAAAAGUGUGAGGAAAGAGCAAAGUACCUGUAAAACAAAUGUAAGGAGACAGUUAACAGAACCAAGGACAGGUACAAAAAGUGUGAGGAAAGAGCAAAGUACCUGUAAAACAAAUGUAAGGAGACAGUUAACAGAACCAAGGACAGGUACAAAAAGUGUCAGGAAAGAGCAGAGUACCUGUAAAACAAAUGUAAGGAGACAGUUAACAGAACUAAGGACAGGUAAAAAAGUGUCAGGAAAGAGCAAAGUACCUGUUAAACAAAUGUAAGGAGACAGUUAACAGAACCAAGGACAGGUACAAAAAGUGUGAGGAAAGAGCAAAGUACCUGUAAAACAAAUGUAAGGAGACAGUUAACAGAACCAAGGACAGGUACAAAAAGUGUGAGGAAAGAGCAAAGUACCUGUAAAACAAAUGUAAGGAGACAGUUAACAGAACCAAGGACAGGUACAAAAGUGUGAGGAAAGAGCAGAGUACCUGUAAAACAAAUGUAAGGAGACAGUUAACAGAACUAAGGACAGGUAAAAAAGUGUCAGGAAAGAGCAAAGUACCUGUUAAACAAAUGUAAGGAGACAGUUAACAGAACCAAGGACAGGUACAAAAAGUGUCAGGAAAGAGCAAAGUACCUGUAAAACAAAUGUAAGGAGACAGUUAACAGAACCAAGGACAGGUACAAGAAGUGUGAGGAAAGAGCAAAGUACCUGUAAAACAAAUGUAAGGAGACAGUUAACAGAACCAAGGACAGGUACAAAAAGUGUCAGGAAAGAGCAGAGUACCUGUAAAACAAAUGUAAGGAGACAGUUAACAGAACCAAGGACAGGUACAAAAAGUGUGAGGAAAGAGCAAAGUACCUGUAAAACAAAUGUAAGGAGACAGUUAACAGAACCAAGGACAGGUACAAAAAGUGUGAGGAAAGAGCAAAGUACCUGUAAAACAAAUGUAAGGAGACAGUUAACAGAACCAAGGACAGGUACAAAAAGUGUCAGGAAAGAGCAAAGUACCUGUAAAACAAAUGUAAGGAGACAGUUAACAGAACCAAGGACAGGUACAAAAAGUGUCAGGAAAGAGCAGAGUACCUGUAAAACAAAUGUAAGGAGACAGUUAACAGAACCAAGGACAGGUACAAAAAGUGUCAGGAAAGAGCAAAGUACCUGUAAAACAAAUGUAAGGAGACAGUUAACAGAACCAAGGACAGGUACAAAAAGUGUCAGGAAAGAGCAAAGUACCUGUAAAACAAAUGUAAGGAGACAGUUAACAGAACCAAGGACAGGUACAAAAUGUGUGAGGAAAGAGCAAAGUACCUGUAAAACAAAUGUAAGGAGACAGUUAACAGAACCAAGGACAGGUACAAAAAGUGUCAGGAAAGAGCAAAGUACCUGUAAAACAAAUGUAAGGAGACAGUUAACAGAACCAAGGACAGGUACAAAAGUGUGAGGAAAGAGCAAAGUACCUGUAAAACAAAUGUAAGGAGACAGUUAACAGAACCAAGGACAGGUACAAAAAGUGUGAGGAAAGAGCAAAGUACCUGUAAAACAAAUGUAAGGAGACAGUUAACAGAACCAAGGACAGGUACAAAAGUGUGAGGAAAGAGCAAAGUACCUGUAAAACAAAUGUAAGGAGACAGUUAACAGAACCAAGGACAGGUACAAAAAGUGUGAGGAAAGAGCAAAGUACCUGUAAAACAAAUGUAAGGAGACAGUUAACAGAACCAAGGACAGGUACAAAAAGUGUGAGGAAAGAGCAAAGUACCUGUAAAACAAAUGUAAGGAGACAGUUAACAGAACCAAGGACAGGUACAAAAAGUGUGAGGAAAGAGCAAAGUACCUGUAAAACAAAUGUAAGGAGACAGUUAACAGAACCAAGGACAGGUACAAAAAGUGUCAGGAAAGAGCAAAGUACCUGUAAAACAAAUGUAAGGAGACAGUUAACAGAACCAAGGACAGGUACAAAAAGUGUCAGGAAAGAGCAGAGUACCUGUAAAACAAAUGUAAGGAGACAGUUAACAGAACCAAGGACAGGUACAAAAGUGUGAGGAAAGAGCAAAGUACCUGUAAAACAAAUGUAAGGAGACAGUUAACAGAACCAAGGACAGGUACAAAAAGUGUCAGGAAAGAGCAGAGUACCUGUAAAACAAAUGUAAGGAGACAGUUAACAGAACCAAGGACAGGUAAAAAAGUGUGAGGAAAGAGCAAAGUACCUGUAAAACAAAUGUAAGGAGACAGUUAACAGAACCAAGGACAGGUACAAAAAGUGUCAGGAAAGAGCAAAGUACCUGUAAAACAAAUGUAAGGAGACAGUUAACAGAACCAAGGACAGGUACAAAAAGUGUCAGGAAAGAGCAAAGUACCUGUAAAACAAAUGUAAGGAGACAGUUAACAGAACCAAGGACAGGUACAAAAAGUGUCAGGAAAGAGCAAAGUACCUGUAAAACAAAUGUAAGGAGACAGUUAACAGAACUAAGGACAGGUAAAAAAGUGUCAGGAAAGAGCAAAGUACCUGUAAAACAAAUGUAAGGAGACAGUUAACAGAACCAAGGACAGGUACAAAAAGUGUCAGGAAAGAGCAGAGUACCUGUAAAACAAAUGUAAGGAGACAGUUAACAGAACCAAGGACAGGUACAAAAAGUGUCAGGAAAGAGCAAAGUACCUGUAAAACAAAUGUAAGGAGACAGUUAACAGAACCAAGGACAGGUACAAAAAGUGUCAGGAAAGAGCAGAGUACCUGUAAAACAAAUGUAAGGAGACAGUUAACAGAACCAAGGACAGGUACAAAAAGUGUGAGGAAAGAGCAAAGUACCUGUAAAACAAAUGUAAGGAGACAGUUAACAGAACCAAGGACAGGUACAAAAAGUGUGAGGAAAGAGCAAAGUACCUGUAAAACAAAUGUAAGGAGACAGUUAACAGAACCAAGGACAGGUACAAAAGUGUCAGGAAAGAGCAGAGUACCUGUAAAACAAAUGUAAGGAGACAGUUAACAGAACCAAGGACAGGUACAAGAAGUGUGAGGAAAGAGCAAAGUACCUGUAAAACAAAUGUAAGGAGACAGUUAACAGAACCAAGGACAGGUACAAAAAGUGUCAGGAAAGAGCAAAGUACCUGUAAAACAAAUGUAAGGAGACAGUUAACAGAACCAAGGACAGGUAAAAAAGUGUCAGGAAAGAGCAGAGUACCUGUAAAACAAAUGUAAGGAGACAGUUAACAGAACCAAGGACAGGUACAAAAAGUGUGAGGAAAGAGCAAAGUACCUGUAAAACAAAUGUAAGGAGACAGUUAACAGAACCAAGGACAGGUACAAAAAGUGUCAGGAAAGAGCAAAGUACCUGUAAAACAAAUGUAAGGAGACAGUUAACAGAACCAAGGACAGGUAAAAAAGUGUCAGGAAAGAGCAAAGUACCUGUAAAACAAAUGUAAGGAGACAGUUAACAGAACCAAGGACAGGUACAAAAAGUGUGAUGAAAGAGCAAAGUACCUGUAAAACAAAUGUAAGGAGACAGUUAACAGAACCAAGGACAGGUACAAAAAGUGUGAGGAAAGAGCAAAGUACCUGUAAAACAAAUGUAAGGAGACAGUUAACAGAUCCAAGGACAGGUACAAAAAGUGUGAUGAAAGAGCAAAGUACCUGUAAAACAAAUGUAAGGAGACAGUUAACAGAACCAUGGACAGGUACAAAAAGUGUGAGGAAAGAGCAAAGUACCUGUAAAACAAAUGUAAGGAGACAGUUAACAGAACCAAGGACAGGUACAAAAAGUGUGAGGAAAGAGCAAAGUACCUGUAAAACAAAUGUAAGGAGACAGUUAACAGAACCAAGGACAGGUACAAAAAGUGUCAGGAAAGAGCAAAGUACCUGUAAAACAAAUGUAAGGAGACAGUUAACAGAACCGAGGACAGGUACAAAAAGUGUGAGGAAAGAGCAAAGUACCUGUAAAACAAAUGUAAGGAGACAGUUAACAGAACCAAGGACAGGUACAAAAAGUGUCUGGAAAGAGCAAAGUACCUGUAAAACAAAUGUAAGGAGACAGUUAACAGAACCAAGGACAGGUACAAAAAGUGUGAGGAAAGAGCAAAGUACCUGUAAAACAAAUGUAAGGAGACAGUUAACAGAACCAUGGACAGGUACAAAAAGUGUGAGGAAAGAGCAAAGUACCUGUAAAACAAAUGUAAGGAGACAGUUAACAGAACCAAGGACAGGUACAAAAAGUGUGAGGAAAGAGCAAAGUACCUGUAAAACAAAUGUAAGGAGACAGUUAACAGAACCAAGGACAGGUACAAAAAGUGUGAGGAAAGAGCAAAGUACCUGUAAA